GUCCCUGUAGCGCAAAAGAAAACGCGUUGGACUGCUAAUCCAAAGGUCGUGGAUUCGAAUCCCACCUGGGAUC